CCAGACUCCUACGGGAGGCAGCAGUGAGGAAUAUUGGUCAAUGGCCGAGAGGCUGAACCAGCCAAGUCGCGUGAGGGAAGACGGCCCUACGGGUUGUAAACCUCUUUUGUCGGGGAGCAAAGAGAGUCACGUGUGACUCAUUGAGAGUACCCGAAGAAAAAGCAUCGGCUAACUCCGUGCCAGCAGCCGCGGUAAUACGGAGGAUGCGAGCGUUAUCCGGAUUUAUUGGGUUUAAAGGGUGCGCAGGCGGAGGUGCAAGUCAGCGGUCAAAUUGCGGGACUCAACCCCGUACUGCCGUUGAAACUGGCGUUCUUGAGUGGGCGAGAAGUAUACGGAAUGCGUGGUGUAGCGGUGAAAUGCAUAGAUAUCACGCAGAACUCCGAUUGCGAAGGCAGCAUACCGGCGCCCAACUGACGCUGAAGCGCGAAAGCGUGGGUAUCGAACAGGAUUAGAUACCCCAGUA
rnacentral:rRNA from 1 species